UGGGGAAUUUUGCGCAAUGGGCUAACGCCUGACGCAGCAACGCCGCGUGGAGGAUGAAGGUCUUUGGAUUGUAAACUCCUGUCAGCAGGGAAAAAGGGAUGAGUGCUAAUACCAUUCAGACUUGAUUGUACCUGCAGAGGAAGCCCCGGCUAACUCUGUGCCAGCAGCCGCGGUAAUACAGAGGGGGCAAGCGUUAUUCGGAAUUAUUGGGCGUAAAGGGCGCGUAGGCGGCUUUUCAAGUGACGGGUGAAAUCCCUCGGCUUAACCGAGGAACUGCCUGUCAGACUGGAAGGCUUGAGACCGGGAGAGGUGAGUGGAAUUCCCAGUGUAGCGGUGAAAUGCGUAGAUAUUGGGAGGAACACCAGUGGCGAAGGCGGCUCACUGGACCGGAACUGACGCUGAGGCGCGAAAGCGUGGGGAGCAAACAGG
rnacentral:rRNA from 1 species